rnacentral:rRNA from 1 species
CCUACGGGAGGCAGCAGUGGGGAAUAUUGCACAAUGGGGGAAACCCUGAUGCAGCGACGCCGCGUGAAGGAAGAAGUAUUUCGGUAUGUAAACUUCUAUCAGCAGGGAAGAAAAUGACGGUACCUGACUAAGAAGCCCCGGCUAACUACGUGCCAGCAGCCGCGGUAAUACGUAGGGGGCAAGCGUUAUCCGGAUUUACUGGGUGUAAAGGGAGCGUAGGCGGUGCAGCAAGUCAGAAGUGAAAGCCCGGGGCUCAACUCCGGGACUGCUUUUGAAACUGUGGAACUAGAGUGCAGGAGAGGUAAGUGGAAUUCCUAGUGUAGCGGUGAAAUGCGUAGAUAUUAGGAGGAACACCAGUGGCGAAGGCGGCUUACUGGACUGUAAAUGACGCUGAGGCUCGAAAGCGUGGGGAGUAAACAGGAUUAGAUACCCCAGUAGUC